CGAGUUGGCGAACGGGUGAGUAACGCGUGAGGAACCUGCCUCAAAGAGGGGGACAACAGUUGGAAACGACUGCUAAUACCGCAUAAGCCCACAGCUCGGCAUCGAGCAGAGGGAAAAGGAGUGAUCCGCUUUGAGAUGGCCUCGCGUCCGAUUAGCUGGUUGGUGAGGUAACGGCCCACCAAGGCGACGAUCGGUAGCCGGACUGAGAGGUUGAACGGCCACAUUGGGACUGAGACACGGCCCAGACUCCUACGGGAGGCAGCAGUGGGGAAUAUUGCACAAUGGGGGAAACCCUGAUGCAGCGACGCCGCGUGGAGGAAGAAGGUCUUCGGAUUGUAAACUCCUGUUGUUGAGGAAGAUAAUGACGGUACUCAACAAGGAAGUGACGGCUAACUACGUGCCAGCAGCCGCGGUAAAACGUAGGUCACAAGCGUUGUCCGGAAUUACUGGGUGUAAAGGGAGCGCAGGCGGGAAAGCAAGUUGGAAGUGAAAUCCAUGGGCUCAACCCAUGAACUGCUUUCAAAACUGUUUUUCUUGAGUAGUGCAGAGGUAGGCGGAAUUCCCGGUGUAGCGGUGGAAUGCGUAGAUAUCGGGAGGAACACCAGUGGCGAAGGCGGCCUACUGGGCACCAACUGACGCUGAGGCUCGAAAGUGUGGGUAGCAAACAGGAUUAGAUACCCUGGUAGUCCACACUGUAAACGAUGAUUACUAGGUGUUGGAGGAUUGACCCCUUCAGUGCCGCAGUUAACACAAUAAGUAAUCCACCUGGGGAGUACGACCGCAAGGUUGAAACUCAAAGGAAUUGACGGGGGCCCGCACAAGCAGUGGAGUAUGUGGUUUAAUUCGACGCAACGCGAA
rnacentral:rRNA from 1 species